rnacentral:rRNA from 1 species
GAUGAACGCUGGCGGCGUGCCUAAUACAUGCAAGUCGAGCGAACGGACGAGAAGCUUGCUUUUCUGAUGUUAGCGGCGGACGGGUGAGUAACACGUGGAUAACCUACCUAUAAGACUGGGAUAACUUCGGGAAACCGGAGCUAAUACCGGAUAAUAUUUUGAACCGAAUGGUUCAAAAGUGAAAGACGGUCUUGCUGUCACUUAUAGAUGGAUCCGCGCUGCAUUAGCUAGUUGGUAAGGUAACGGCUUACCAAGGCAACGAUGCAUAGCCGACCUGAGAGGGUGAUCGGCCACACUGGAACUGAGACACGGUCCAGACUCCUACGGGAGGCAGCAGUAGGGAAUCUUCCGCAAUGGGCGAAAGCCUGACGGAGCAACGCCGCGUGAGUGAUGAAGGUCUUCGGAUCGUAAAACUCUGUUAUUAGGGAAGAACAUAUGUGUAAGUAACUGUGCACAUCUUGACGGUACCUAAUCAGAAAGCCACGGCUAACUACGUG